GACGAACGCUGGCGGCGUGCUUAACACAUGCAAGUCGAACGAAGUGGCGGACGGGUGAGUAACGCGUAAUCAACCUGCCCUUCAGAGGGGGACAACAGUUGAAAACGACUGCUAAUACCGCAUACUGAAGAAGGGGAUUGCGUCUGAUUAGCUAGUUGGGGGGGUAACGGCCCACCAAGGCGAUGAUCAGUAGCCGGUCGGGGAAGAUGAACGGCCAAAUUGGGACUGAGACACGGCCCAGACUCCUACGGGAGGGAGGAGUGGGGAAUCUUCCGCAAUGGACGGAAGUCUGACGGAGCAACGCCGCGUGGGUGAUGACGGCCUUCGGGUUGUAAAGCUCUGUUAAUCGGGACGCGGUACCGGAAUAGAAAGCCACGGCUAACUACGUGCCAGCAGCCGCGGUAAUUC
rnacentral:rRNA from 1 species